CCUACGGGAGGCUGCAGUGGGGAAUAUUGGACAAUGGGCGAAAGCCUGAUCCAGCCAUGCCGCGUGUGUGAAGAAGACCUUCGGGUUGUAAAGCACUUUCAGUGGGGAAGAAAGCCUUGGGGCUAAUACCCUCGAGGAAGGACAUCACCCACAGAAGAAGCACCGGCUAACUCCGUGCCAGCAGCCGCGGUAAUACGGAGGGUGCGAGCGUUAAUCGGAAUUACUGGGCGUAAAGCGCGCGUAGGCGGUCUGAUAAGCCGGUUGUGAAAGCCCCGGGCUCAACCUGGGAACGGCAUCCGGAACUGUCAGGCUAGAGUGCAGGAGAGGAAGGUAGAAUUCCCGGUGUAGCGGUGAAAUGCGUAGAGAUCGGGAGGAAUACCAGUGGCGAAGGCGGCCUUCUGGACUGACACUGACGCUGAGGUGCGAAAGCGUGGGUAGCAAACAGGAUUAGAUACCCCGGUAGUC
rnacentral:rRNA from 1 species